rnacentral:rRNA from 1 species
UACGUAGGGGGCUAGCGUUAUCCGGAAUUACUGGGCGUAAAGGGUGCGUAGGUGGUUUCUUAAGUCAGAGGUGAAAGGCUACGGCUCAACCGUAGUAAGCCUUUGAAACUGGGGAACUUGAGUGCAGGAGAGGAGAGUGGAAUUCCUAGUGUAGCGGUGAAAUGCGUAGAUAUUAGGAGGAACACCAGUUGCGAAGGCGGCUCUCUGGACUGUAACUGACACUGAGGCACGGAAGCGUGGGGAGCAAACAGG